rnacentral:rRNA from 1 species
GAUGAACGCUCGCGGCAGGCCUAAUACAUGCAAGUCGGACGGGAUUCAGGAGCUUGCUUCUGAUGAGAGUGGCGCACGGGUGCGUAACACGUAUGUAACCUACCUUUAUCAGGGGGAUAGCCUCUCGAAAGAGAGAUUAAGCCCGCAUAAAACCACAGCACAGCAUUGUGUACUGAUCAAAUAUUUAUAGGAUAAAGAUGGGCAUGCGGAACAUUAGCUAGAUGGCGGGGUAACGGCCCACCAUGGCGACGAUGUUUAGGGGAUCUGAGAGGAUGGCCCCCCACACUGGUACUGAGACACGGACCAGACUCCUACGGGAGGCAGCAGUAAGGAAUAUUGGGCAGUGGGCGGAAGCCUGAACCAGCCAUGCCGCGUGCAGGAAGACGGCCCUACGGGUGGAAAACUGCUUUUAGACGGGAAUAAACCCAGAUACGUGUAUCUGGCUGAAUGUACUGUAAGAAUAAGGAUCGGCUAACUCCGUG